CAUUGAACCAGAGUGAUCGGUUCCGUGCGUGUUUCAAUGCACAGCGGAAGCAAUAGGGAACACGGUGAGGCGUAGCCAAAAGGCACCAAAUCCGUGACUGCCCCCGCAACUGUGAGCGGUGAGUGACGCUGAACAAGCCACUGGGACAUUCCCGGGAAGGCCAGCCGAUCCAUGACCCGCGAGUCAGGAGACCUGCCGGACACAAGGAUUGAGA
rnacentral:ncRNA from 2 species